rnacentral:rRNA from 1 species
UACGGAGGGUGCAAGCGUUAAUCGGAAUUACUGGGCGUAAAGCGUACGUAGGCGGCUUGUUAAGCAAGAUGUGAAAUCCCCGGGCUCAACCUGGGAAUGGCAUUUUGAACUGGCAGGCUCGAGUUCUGAAGAGGGUGGUAGAAUUUCCAGUGUAGCGGUGAAAUGCGUAGAUAUUGGAAGGAAUACCGGUGGCGAAGGCGGCCCCCUGGACAAAGACUGACGCUCAGGCACGAAAGCGUGGGGAGCAAACAGG